rnacentral:rRNA from 1 species
UGAGUAACCUGCCCUUGACUCUGGGAUAAGCCUGGGAAACCGGGUCUAAUACCGGAUAUGACUGCCGGCCGCAUGGCCUGGUGGUGGAAAGCUUUAUUGCGGUUUUGGAUGGACUCGCGGCCUAUCAGCUUGUUGGCGGGGUAAUGGCCCACCAAGGCGACGACGGGUAGCUGGCCUGAGAGGGUGACCGGCCACACGUGGGACUGAGACACGGCCCAGACCUCCGUACGGGAG